rnacentral:rRNA from 1 species
UGGGGAAUAUUGCGCAAUGGGCGAAAGCCUGACGCAGCGACGCCGCGUGAGGGACGAAGGCCUUCGGGUCGUAAACCUCUUCAGCAGGGAAGAAGCGCAAGUGACGGUACCUGCAGAAGAAGCACCGGCUAACUACGUGCCAGCAGCCGCGGUAAUACGUAGGGUGCAAGCGUUGUCCGGAAUUAUUGGGCGUAAAGAGCUCGUAGGCGGCUUGUCACGUCUGCUGUGAAAAACUCGGGGCUCAACCCCGAGCCUGCAGUGGAUACGGGCUAGCUAGAGUGCGGUAGGGGAGACUGGAAUUCCUGGUGUAGCGGUGAAAUGCGCAGAUAUCAGGAGGAACACCGGUGGCGAAGGCGGGUCUCUGGACCGAUACUGACGCUGAGGAGCGAAAGCGUGGGGAGCGAACAGGAUUAGAUACC